rnacentral:antisense_RNA from 1 species
CUUGAUGGAGCCGAGCAGCAGCGGCGGGUUCUCGCCGCGCUCCUUGCCGUACGUGGCCAUCAGGGCGUGCGCCUC